rnacentral:tRNA from 1 species
GCCCCCGUCGUCUAGCCAGGAUAGGACAAGGGCUUGCGGAGCCCUAGACCUGGGUUCGAAUCCCAGCGGGGGCA